rnacentral:rRNA from 1 species
UACGUAGGGUGCGAGCGUUAAUCGGAAUUACUGGGCGUAAAGCGUGCGCAGGCGGUUUUGUAAGCCAGAUGUGAAAUCCCCGGGCUCAACCUGGGAAUGGCAUUUGGGACUGCAAGGCUGGAGUGCGGCAGAGGAGACUGGAAUUCCUGGUGUAGCAGUGAAAUGCGUAGAUAUCAGGAGGAAUACCGAUGGCGAAGGCAGGUCUCUGGGCUGACACUGACGCACAUGCACGAAAGCGUGGGGAGCAAACAGG